CUGAAUGAUCUGUUGGAUUAAGAAAUUUGAUUAUUGACCUGAUCCGACCCAAUCUGAUCUUCUAUUGGGCUAAGUUUGGAUUCAAUAUUUAGAUCCAAUUAAGAAAUCGGAUUGGAUCGGGGUCACUCAUGGCCCGGCCCACUUGCACCCUUAGGUAGCCCAUGUAUUUCUUGAAGUCCACAACGAAUGGUGAGACUAACCCC
rnacentral:lncRNA from 1 species